AACGAACGCUGGCGGCAUGCCUAACACAUGCAAGUCGAACGAGACCUUCGGGUCUAGUGGCGCACGGGUGCGUCACGCGUGGGAACCUGCCCUUAGGUUCGGAAUAACUCUCCGAAAGGGGUGCUAAUACCGGAUAAUGUCUUCGGACCAAAGAUUGAUCGACUUUGGAUGGGCCCGCGUUGGUUUAGCCUGUUGGUAGGGUAAAAGCCUACCAAGGCGUGGCUCCAUAGCUGGUUUGAGAGGAAGGGCAGCCACACUGACACUGAGACCCGGCCCAGAAUCUUGCGGGAGGCAGCAAAGGGGGAUAUUGCACAACCGGCUGAGGGCUGAACGAGCAAGGCCUCGAAAGUGAUGAAGUCCGUAGAGAAAUGAAGCACUUUAAUCCGGGAUGAUAAUGACGGUACCGAAAGAAUAAGCACCGGCUAACUCCGUG
rnacentral:rRNA from 1 species